CUACUUGACAAUGCAGUUGAUGAGAUCCAAAAUGGGGCCACUUUUGUCAUUGUAGAUAAAACCUCAAAUCCAAGGGAUGGAAGUCCAGCAUUGUUAAUUCAAGACAAGAAGAUGCUCAGGAGUUCCCUUAGCUUCAUUAUGGAUGCAUGAUGAAUUACUUAAGCUUGAAGGACAGCCCUUGAAGGAAAGACGAACUUUUUUAAAGAAGGGUGGGUGACUAUCAAAGAGCAUUAUGUCAGGCCUCCAAGAUGGUGGAAAGAAUUUCAUCUUCAAGAUGGACGCAGACAUUAUAGUCAUCAAUUUGUACUGAAAUGCUGGAUUUGGAAUCAAAAUUUUGUUACUCUUAUUUGAGCCAGCAAUUUGUAUAUUGUAUUUCAAGGGAUAUGUAUAAUGCCAUAGUCUGACUGAAGUUGUAUUAAUUUAUGCCGAGCCGUCCUUAGCUUGGGGUGGCUAUCAUUAUCAGUAUAGAAUUUUGUA